rnacentral:lncRNA from 1 species
UCGUUACACUAAGCGAUCUACCUUAAUUAUAAAUGUGUAGUCAUCAUCCAACCAAUAUACGUCCAUUGCUGGACAUAAGUCUCCCCCAAUUGUUUCCACACUUCACGGUUUUGUGCCGAUUGUUGCCAGUUUAGUACGUCAUAUUAAAGUGCCAGUGGUAAUACCUGUGUUUUCUUGCGGAUGAUACGAAUUUUAUUCCAGUUCGGGAGAUUUUUCCAACUAGUGUUAGGCUGAACAUUUUGUAGAUAUGGUUCUAAUAUGAACAGAUAUCUACUUAAGUAACUCAUAAAUAUUUAGUGAAAUCAUUACCGUCAAAAAUGAAUUAUUACAAAACACAGGAUGAGCUUGAA